ACGGGAGGCAGCAGUGGGGGAUAUUGCACAAUGGGGGAAACCCUGAUGCAGCGACGCCGCGUGAGUGAUGAAGUAUUUCGGUAUGUAAAGCUCUAUCAGCAGGGAAGAAAAUGACGGUACCUGACUAAGAAGCACCGGCUAAAUACGUGCCAGCAGCCGCGGUAAUACGUAUGGUGCGAGCGUUAUCCGGAUUUACUGGGUGUAAAGGGGGCGUAGACGGCAAAGCAAGUCUGAAGUGAAAUCCCGGGGCUCAACCCCGGGACUGCUUUGGAAACUGUUUAGCUAGAGUGCAGGAGAGGUAAGCGGAAUUCCUAGUGUAGCGGUGAAAUGCGUAGAUAUUAGGAGGAACACCAGUGGCGAAGGCGGCUUACUGGACUGUAACUGACGUUGAGGCUCGAAAGCGUGGGGAGCAAACAGGAUUAGAUACCCUGGUA
rnacentral:rRNA from 1 species